ensembl:lncRNA
UGGGGCUUGGGUACUUGGGGGGUGAUCCCAAUGCUGUUCCGCCCCCAUCCUUGCAGGGAUGCAGCCCUGAGAUGAACAAAGGAAGGGAUGAUCGGUUGAGGGGAUGAAUUUUACCUUUUAUUUUUCCAGUCUUUUCUCAGCACCUGCUGUCAUGGGAAUAGUUAAGCAUCUGCCUUUUAGAGCGGGAAGGUGCUAGAGGCAAAAGUUGUCUCUGCAAGGCUUGGUGUAUCAAUCUGUACUUUAGAAACACUGGAAGUGAGUGGUUUGAAAUCUUCUAUUGGGAAGAGCAUCUCAUAAAGAACAUCACUGUGCUCAGCGUCUUCUCACUUGGUGUCAUCACUAUCAGCUUUUGCCCCACAGCUCCCAUCUCCAUCCAUCCUCACACCAAGAGUGGGACCGACAGCUACGUAGUCUCCAUGGAUGUGCCCGUAAGACAAAGAAGAACCCAAGUAGGAGCAAAAGCUGCAGCAAACAAUAGCCUGCCUGAAAUCGCACAACAGGAUCAGUACCUCUAUGAGAAUAGGAUCUGCUGGAAAACACCCUGAACGCAGAGCAUCCAUAAAGCCUGGGGAGCAGGGCAGCACAGGUCCGGGCUCUACAGCAUCUUUGGUCCCUGGGUUGUUUCCAUCAGGAGAUCUUGGUGUUGUCCCAUGAAGCUUCUAGUGUGACUUCUUAUGGUGCAGUGGCUUCCGGCCAAGCAAACCUACAGCAGCUUGCAGUGCCUGCUCUGUGCUGAUGGAGGUAAUUAAUAAGGGGAAAUACCCCUGAGAUUUCCCAUGCUGGAUAAUACAGAGCUGAGGAGCUGCCGGGGAAGCGAGUGGUGUUUGUGUCCCUUGUUGCUAUAGGGAUGAGAUGGCUUUUCUGUCAGAGCCUCCAGUGAGAGCAGCUAAUCCAUUUUUAAGAGGAAAGGCUAUUUAAUAAAGGAAACAAUUUAAACUGGAUUUACACAAUCUGCUGCGUGGAAGCACCGUUUAUUCUGCUGCUUCGUAUUUAAUUUUUCUAUCUCUGUGAACCUCUCUGGAGCGCUCUGCAGAAACAAGCUGCAGUUGGAGGGUCUUUUGGAUGCCCAGUAAUUCUUAAAAGCAGAUCUGUUCAGUGAUGCUAGACCAAGCCAGCAGCUGAUGAGUAUUUUCCACUAUGUUGUGUCUUAGGGCACUGGAAUACAGUAUUGGAAAACAG